AGGACUUUGAUAUCUCUGCUUCCUGUGCUACUGAAUCCCACUUGAACACGAGAGCACAAGUAGGCAUUGACUGCUGUUGCUAUGCAAUGAGAAGCUGAAUGAUGCAAAGGGAAGCAUGUAAUCUUGUACUGAAGACAUUCUGGAGGAGUCAUUAGAAUAUUGUCUAGCACUUGAGUGAAAACCAAUUAAUGUUGGCCUUUUAUCUGCAAGCCAGAAUGAAUACAAUAGCAAUGGAGUGGCAGCAAGGAUAAGACAGGCACAGUGUCUGGCAGUAGCUCUGCACCCAAGAGAUGAUCCAAUCAGAUUCAGGAAGAGAGGACAAAUCUUACUGUUGAUAGGCA